rnacentral:rRNA from 1 species
GACGAACGCUGGCGGCGUGCUUAACACAUGCAAGUCUAACGGAAAGGCCCUGCCUUUGUGGGGUGCUCGCGUGGCGCACGGGUGAGUAACCAGUGUGUAACCUGCCCUUGCCUUUGGGAUAACUUCAUGAAACUGCGGCUCAUACCGGAUAGGCGCUCCUGCUGCAUGGUGGUCGUUUGACAGUUUCGGCGGUUUGGGAUGGUCUCGCGGCUUCUCCGCUUGUUGGUGAGGUAGUGGCCUACCAAGGCGUUGACGGGUAGCCGGCCUGAGAGGGUGACCGGCCACAUUGGGACUGAGAGACGGCCCAGACUCCUACGGGAGGCAGCAGUGGGGAAUAUUGCACAAUGGGCGGAAGCCUGAUGCAGCAACGCCGCGUGCGGGAUGACGGCCUUCGGGUUGUAAACCGCUUUCGCCUGUGACGAAGCGUGAGUGACGGCAAUGGGUAAAGAAGCACCGGCUAACUACGUG